rnacentral:snRNA from 1 species
ACACUCUGGUUUCUUUUCAGAUCAUAUAAAUCUUUUGCCUUUUACUAAAUAUUUCGGUGAAAAGGAACAACUGAGUCUAAACACUUUUUUUGGGGCGGUGU